GAAGAGGUGAACAAAUUAUUGGGUAGACCUGGGACUACCAGUUCAGCUGUAUAUUGAGCUUAUAAUGGUUGCCUAUAUGGACAAAGCCUUCCACCUUAAUUUUUUCUUUUAAAAGAUAAAAACUAAAUUGUGCCUACUCCCAAUCACUCUAUCCAUUUCAGAACCCCCCUCUUAAGGUCUCCACCAUCUUCCAAAAUUUUAGCCACACUGUCAGCAUCUUGCUUCCUCCAUCUCCCAUAUGCCAUACAUGCCUAUGUCCUCCACCUCCUAAGCAUCACUCCACUCUCUGCUCGAUUAUGAGCAGCACUCCACCCAC
rnacentral:lncRNA from 1 species